CUCCCCACAAAACAACCAGAGCAUGGAACAUAUGAAGUGAAGAAUAAUAUUUACUGAAUGAAGAAAUGAAUAUAACACUGCAGGCCUAGGUGGGAGCUUCCAGUGCCUCUUGUCAUCAUGCUGCUAUGUCCAGGAAGUGGGAGGUGGCACCAAUGUGUAGCCACCCUGCCUGAGCCCACCAGCCUUGGAGUCAGAACACCCUGGGGUAAAUCCUGGCUCAGCUCUUCUCAGCUAUGUGAUCUCGGUAAGUGGCUUUGCUUCUCAGGGCUUCAGGCUCCUCCUCUAAUUCCCACCGCACAGCGCUG
rnacentral:lncRNA from 1 species